AAAUAAUUCUCUAACUUCAUUAAACAGUUAAGUAGUUAUUUAACUUAUUGAAUAAUUAAAUUUCGAAUUGGAUAAACAAAAAAGAAAAUAUCAUUUUAAUUCAAAUUUCUAAAAAUAAUUCUUGUAAAUACAUAUCUAAAUGUGAAGAACAAAAAAAAAGAGAGAGAAAAGUGAUGAAAUCUCUCUUAAUUUAUCAUAUUUACACAACCUAGACUCUAAAAAAGCUUGGAGGCAAAGUAGAUAAAAAAGCUCUUUAAAAAGUUGGUAAACUGUUUGAUUCUUACGUCUCUGUUUGGACACACUACCCGAGUGCCUUAACUAUUCUUUUACAAAAUUUUCUUCAUUAAUAAUAACUAAAAAGAGUAUUUAAAGAAAAAACAAAAAACUCAAUGAAAAGAACAAUGCAACCAAUUAGAUCAUCAACCUUAGUAUGAAAAAACAAAAAACGAGAAUCUCAUAAUUAAUCAGUGUGUCUAUGCUGCUCGAAGUAUGGGUUAGGACCCUUCAUCGUUGGAUAUUAUUGCAGAACAUGAAACGUGGAUGGUCAAAAAUGCAAGAAGAAGUGGGAAAAAAAAUUGACAAAAAAUCUUCUCAAUGCGGAUUUUUUUAGCACCAAAAUAUUAUAGACAAUGGCGUCUUUCUCAUGAACAGCACGAUUUUAAUUAAUUAAAUUUGUAAAUGAAAUAUUCCCAAACUUAUUACAUAUAUUUUUUGAUUUUUUCACGAGAUGUGUUAAUUUAUGUGUGGUUUAUGUACUAGAAAAGACGCCAACGAUCGAAAUCAUUGGGAAAUUUAUUUUCCUGGAUGAAUGCCAGGUAUUUCUGAGUAGAUUAAACCACCGAGGGUGCACUUUGCAUGUGUAAAGGAACGCUGCACUAACUGACGGCAUCCCUUGCCUGAUUGUAAGCCACUUUGGCAUUUAGCAUGGUAAUUAAUGUCGAGGGAAAGAGUUGUAAUUAGUCGUUUUGCUAGAGUAUUUAUCAGGAUUGCAUUAUCAAUAUUAUUAUCAUUGACGUUUGUAUUUUACUGACAAUGAGAGUGAGAAAUUCAUAUUUCGGUCAAUUUCAAUGAAUGGAGAGAAAAUGUUAGGGAAAUAGUCAGGGGUGAGAUUAAUGUUCUAAGUUUGUUUUCAAUCAUCAACAACAAAAAAUUCAUUUUUCCUAUCAUCUUCUAGUCAUUAUUUAUUUAUUUAUGAUAAACAAUGAAUACAGUUUCUAGGUAAUAUUAAAUAACUUUUUAAUAAAUAACAUAAUUAUUUUAGAACAUUUAUCUGCCCCUUAAAAAAAUAUAGUAAGUGUUUUUGAUCAACAGUAGACUUGGGACCGCAAUCCUACAUUUAAUAUAAAAUAAUUAAACAUUUCUACAAACUCGUCAAAUAGUAAAUGAAAAAAAAAAAAAAAUUACUAUUAAAACCGGUAAUAAAUCCGGGGAUUGUUCUUCCAGUACGAUUAUAUUUAAAGAAAAAAAAUUACUUAAUAAUAACGGGUUUUACGAUCUAGUCGUUAAGAAAAGUUUCAAUGGUGCGGAUUCUACGGAUUUUGUGGCUUAUGGGAUAUAUUACACGCACCAAUCAAGCAGGAGGAAAUUUAAUCAGGUAAAAUUUUUAUUCGUGUCAAUUCACUUUGUGGAGUAGUGUAGAAUUUGAAAAAGUUAAAAUUUUGAUAUAGACUUGAGUCAAUUUUAAAACAAAAAAAAUUAAAUAUUAACAACAAACCUACAAAUAAAAUUAAAUGAAUGAAUUAUCAUUAAUUAUAAUAAAUAGUGUAUUAGUGGUGCGGUAUAACUUGUACACAAAUCCGUUGUGUUUCGUAUCUUGAAAAUUAAAUAUCCUGCUCCAUUUUUUCGUCCCCAAUUUUUUUUCAUCACUCUGUACUUCCUCCCCUUAAAAGUAGAUGUAUUUGUAAAUAAAUAUUUCACGUAAACGUGCGAUCAUAUCAUUUUUUAUUUUUUUUAUUUUUAGUUGAGAUAAUAGAAGAAAGGGAGAUUAUAAGUGUUCGAAUAUUUUGUUUUAUAUUCUUAAAAAAAUACUUUUUAUUCAAUUAACUAAUAAAUUAUUUAUUUAUAUUUUAAUAGAUGUCUAGUCAUUACUAAUGAAACUCAAAAACAUUCCACUAAAACUUGGAACUAAUAAAUAUGAGCAUAGUCAUUAACUGCUCUCCUUUUCUCUAAUUCUCAACUAGUCACGUGAUUGUAAAUAAUCUAAACAAUGGUAUAUCAAUAAAAUAUGACAUAAUAUAUUUUUUCAAUCUUAUCGAAACACUCGUUGAGAAUCGAAAAAAAAAACCCCUAUUUGAUUUACCCCUCAUGUGAUUCUCAACUUCAAAAAACAAACUUUUUCUGAUGGAAACAAGUGAGAAAGAAAAAAGAUUUGAUAAAAGUAUUUAUUUCUUUUCAUAAAUCCUGUUCCCAUGUGCCUAGGAGCAUAAAAAAAAUUUUCUUUGUAUAUAAAUUUAUUCAGAGAAAAAGUCAAAUAUAGUGAAAAUGUUUUAGUGUAUUCACGAAAAAUGAUAAAAAAAAUAAUAAUGACACUUAACAAUAAUAACUAUGUCUAGAUUAAUUUAAUAUCGUAUCUAGAAUGAAUAUGUUGAUGUUCAAAAAAUAAACUUUACAAAAAAUUCAUAAAUAAAUGAAAGGAUAAUAAUUAAAAUAUGAACAAUAAUAAAUGAUAAUCAUCACAUUAUUAUAUAAACAUUUUGAAUAAUAAUAAAUACAAAAGAAAAAAAAAUUACUAAAAAGUGGGAAUUUUUUGUAAAGACAAAUUUUUCGUAACUUCAAAUUAGCUUAAAUAGCAUAGCAAAAUCAUAAUACGUGAUAAGAAGAUAAUUUACCACUAAUAUCAUUAGCUUGUACGUAAAAAUAAUCCAUUGUAGUAUUUUUUGAGUUAUCAUAUGCCAUGUUUUAGUGUGAAAAUUGUCCAGUUUUACCAAAGAAAAUAAUAAAAAAAAAAAAAAA